GUUGGGUGCUAUCUUACAUUAUUAUUCUUUACAGAGGUGCAAGCAUUUCGAGAUUGGUGGAGACAAGAAGGGCAAGGGAACAUCUCUUUUCUAAACUACCUACUGGAUACUGAAGUUGUGGGUCUAUUGUGCUUCAUACUUCAAUGUUAUUAGGAACUUAAUUUAAGCAGACCAUAUCAUGUAUUCAAGUAUCAUCGUCUGACAUUUACUCUAGCAAGGAUUGGCUUUCUGCUGAAUCAAGUUUUCUUGCUUAAUGCUCGUCGAAUCCAAUGUGAUGCAUGUCUUUAGAUGGCACUGCAAUUGUGACUUUUGUCUUAUGGCAGUUUUAUCUCCCUAAGUCCUCAGUGUCUGUUUUUCGUUAUCUUACCCGAGUUUGCAAUCCUAGAGCGACCCACGUAAACGAAUUCCUGUGACAUGAAUCCCUGAGAGGCUAGUCUGAUGAACUUCCGUUUUUCAGAUCGAAUUUCGUAUAUGGUUAACUAUACUAUGUUUUGUUCAAUAUCUUCGUAACGAGAUGGAAGGUAUGGAAUACUAUGGAUGGAGGUGAAUUGAAAGAUAGGCCUUGGUCUUGUGAUUGUUAUCUUAGAAGGUCGAUACUAAUGUUUGGUCUUGUGGCGUUAGUGAAACUGUUUUCGUAGCAAUGUUUGGUCUUGUGAUGUUAUUGAACUGUUUUCGUAGCAUUGUAUUACUUGUUCCAUUCUUCAUGCAUGAUUUGGAUAGGUUAUUGACAAUUGUUUAUAGUAAUGAAUUAAAUAUUACACUCCUAAAUUAUUAUAAACCGAAUAAAUAGCUUAAAGCGAGCCAGGCAAUGCUGAUGUAGAAAAUUUCUAGUUUGAGAACCGUGGUAUGCAUAUCCCGAAGUUCAUAAGCUGAAAAGAUUGCACCCUAAAUCUAAUGUAUUGUAGUUUUCCUGUACUGAAAAUGCUGUUGGAUCGGACAGCCGUGGUGAUUGGUUGCGUUCAUUUUCAAGUUGUAGCCAAGUUAAAUAAAGUAUAGAAGGAUAUGCAAGUAGCAACAUCGGAGGAGUGCCAUCGCAGUGAUCCUCCCAAAAAGCACGAAAGAAACAUCUUCAUUGGAACCUAAGCAGCUCUGGCCUUUUGAGCCCAGAAAAGCUAUCCUUGAUUCAAGCACAAACCGUCAUUUGGUUAUAUGCUUUCUCCAAAUACUAGCAUGAGUAAAUUGCAUUGGCGGUACACGAACUUGCUAGGUGGAAGCAAUCUAGUACAUAAACUUAUAAAACGCUCAUUUUGAUACACGAACUUGUUAGGUGCAUGUGAAUCAAGGCCAAAAGAAAAAACAAAGCUAAUCUUAUUUUAGUGUUAAUUAGGAUACUACAUAAACACAUGUGUGAGAAAAAUGCUAAGUACAUAUACAUUUGUUCAAUAAAAAGGGGUUAAUAAGGCCUAAAGAUUGUAUGGAGAAAGACACAAAAAUACUGAGAAAUAGUGCAAGGGGUAGAACAAAGAAUAAUAAAGCACAAAUGCAUGUCUCAUGUCCACCUCCAUAUGCACAUCUCGUCCUAAUCAGUGUAUAACUUAGUAAAAUUGAUUAUGAUGUGUCAUUUUGACCUUGUUUCACAUGCAUCGAACAAAUUCAUGUACCGAAACAAGUCUUUUACAAGUUCGUGUAGUAAAGUGCAUCCAUCUGGCAAUUUACUCUACUAGCAUUUGAAGCUAAAAGGCUUUGGCCUUUUGGAGCCCAGAAAAGCUGUUCUUGAUUCCAGAACAGAUCGUCAUUUUUGGGGUAUAUGCCUCCUCCAGAAUCCUAAAAUUCUCAUUUCAUGUAAGGAAAAUCGCAAGUGUCCAACGCUGAAUCCAUCCCAGAGAUCUCAGUGAGCAAAUUGCACAGCGCCAGUUGGGACUAUUCAAGGAUUUUCAGGGCCAUGCCCUGUACCCAUCAUCCAUCACCCAGCAACAAAACAAGCCGGACCGUAGUGUGUCAAGCAUGCACUGCUUCUGCUCUCCGAUCUAACCGGUAGCCCCCAACUCAUUCUGAACCACACCUUGUGUUUUGGACCACAUCACAAAAUUCAGAAGCAGCAGCAGCAGCAGCAAAGGGUCAAGCAAAAAAUCUAACAGCUUUAUUUAGGCAGAUCCACCUCUCUACAUCAUCAUAGUCAUAGUACAAGAACUCGACGAAUUCAGAAGAAACAUUGGCAGCUACACCUAGAGAAAGAAAAAUGAAAAGAAAAGAAGAUCUAAUAUAUUACAAGGGAUCCUUGGAUAUAUGCUCAUAGCAUUGUUACAUCCCGAGCACCGAGUCGCGACUUGUGGCGAAAACGGGUGCCAUUUCCAUGCUUAUGCCAUUACUGCUUCGCCUGAAAAAAUGAGAUGUUUUUUUUUUGGUUAGAGAUUCAGACUUAUGUUCAUGAAUUGGCUCUUUUGUGAAAAAUGUGAUUUGGUAAAACAUGUGCGGAAAAUCUACCUGAGAGUAGAUGAAAGUUCCGAGAAUCGCAAUGGCGGCUCCGAGGGCGUUGAUGGGCUGGACCGGCGUGUGGAAGAUGAUGAUGGAGGCGACAAUGACGGAGAUCCGCUUCAUGGUGUUGCCGAUGCUGAAUGUCAGUGGUGAGAUCUCGUCCAAUGACAUGUAGGACACUUGGUUGUACAAGUGGUAGAACACACUCUGCGCCGCCACCCACCUACAAAACCACAGAGAAAUCCAUGGCCACAUGAAUCAGCUGGAUUAUCACACAAAAAUAUCAUCAAAUCUUUUGAUACUUCUUAUUUCUCUUUCAGAAUGAACUGAAGAAGAUAUUGCCGCUUAGGAGGAAAUGAUAGUGAUAGGACGAUCCUAUAUCUAUAUUAAUUGAUAAUGGUUCUUUUUGUAUAGAAUACUUGAGUGAUGUUACUGAAAGUACAAAGUGUUGCAUGCUGAAACUGUUUGAAAGCUUAGGUCAAGCACUUAUCACUAGAAAUUUUUUGCCCAAUUGAUACCCAAAAAUCUCAACUGACGUGAUGGUUGUGACAGUGAAACGGUGAGAAGUGGUACAAAGAAAAGCAUGUGAGGCUCACCAGACGAAGUUUGGACCGAUCUCGGCGACGGCUUUUUGCCAGCCGGCAGCCCACACCUUGGGCCCCUCCAUGGCGAAGGCGAAAGGGAGGAGGAUGACCAGCGAGAGCAUGGAGAGGCAGGCGUAGUAGUUCAUCCCGCUCACCGACUUGCCCUUCAUCCCCUUCUUGGAGAAUAUGUUCCGGAACACGAAUGCCAGGUUCGAGAUCAUCGCCCCCAUGAAUCCUGCAUCGAAUUUUCAGCAAUACACGAUGAACAGAUUGAUGUGAUGUGUCAGGUUUAUGAACAAAUUGUGCACUUUUUCGUGGCUGGUGUAUAUUUCUUUAUCUGACAUAAGAAAACAUAUCUUUGGUUAAUGGACAGUUCUUGUUCUGAAGAAUUCUUGGAGAUAAUAUCUAUUUUUUUAAUCAAAAAGUGAGGAUAUUUCUGGUGUAUCUGCUGCAAGUAUCUCCAGGAUUUCAGGUGGAGAGACAGAGAGAUGCAGAGUGUUUGCUCACUCACCAAUCAUGUUGAAAUUGAGCUCGGUGAUGGCGGCGAGGGCGCAUCCGCCGAUGAUUGGGAGGAGGGAGAAGUAGACCGGCGCCGGGAAGUGCUCGCCGAGGAAGAACCUGGAGACGAGCACGCUGAACGCCGGCUCGCCGCUCUUGAUGAUGUGGGUGAACGACACCGCCACCUUCGCCAUGCUCACCGUCGCCGCCACGUGCCCGAUGGUGUGCGCGAUCGCCACCUGCUCGUCCCACAACGAGCAAAAACGAAUCCCCAAAUCCAACGAACGCGUCAGAGAUUCAGAAUAGAACAGAAUCAAGAAGGAGGAGACGAUGGUGUCCAUGGUCAAUGCGAUCUCACCGGAGACAGGGCCUUCCAGAAAUCGAGGUCGGUGGCGGGCGCCUCGGCGAUCCUGGUGGCCCAGGAGGCGAGCAUGAUGGCGGAGCCGGCGGCGAGGGAGAGCGUGGACGUGAGCCACGGGUAAGGGAACGCGUUGAGCACCUUCUUGUUGUAGAUGUUGAAGAUCACGUUCAGCGCCCACCACGUCGCGAAGUAGACCCCGAUCUUGGCCCGCCUCGCCGCCUCCUCCGGCGCCGCGCCCGCCGGUGCAGCCUCCACCGGCCGGGCGCCGUCGGCGGUGGCGGACGGCGGCGGCGGCGCCGGUGACGCGACGCGCGACGCCAGGAAUAACGGGUCCUGCUGCCGGUACAGGGGGCGCGCCGAGAGGGAGAGGGGACGUGGCCCGGCGGCGGCGGCGGCGGCGGCGAAGAGGGGAGGGAGGUGGAGGGGCUUGAAUAAUGCCAUCUUGGGCGCCGUGGCGGUCCCGGCCGUGGAGAGCUUGACGGAGGCGGCGGCGGCGAGCAUAUUGGCGGCGGGAAUGGUGGCGCCGGCUUCUUCAGUUACAGUUACUGUGUUGUGUUGUAGCCGGCCGUCCGUACGUCUAUGGCGGCGAUGGGUUGCGGCCAUAGAGACUGCUCGCAUCGAGUCUUCUUCAAUCCGACUAUAACAAAUUGCUAGCUAGUUCCACGCCCUCCAACGCCCUUUUAGGGAAGGAAGCCUCAAAGGAGAGAGGGCCGCCGAACAAUGUGGUUGAGGACAAUCCAAGGAAAAGGGUGGAGACGAAGAGGGAGCUGGACAAAAGAUAAGUGGUAGAGGGGGGAAUCCUACAGCUAGAAGAACAUCAACCGCGUCAACAGGGAAGGCUGCAAGAAUAGUAGCCAUUCAAGCCAAAGAAAACCGUAGGCACUAACAUAAAAGACCUGACCUAAUCCAUCAAUCAAGGAGCAUGCUAAAAGGAGAUCUAGAGAGAGGGAGAGGCACUGGCAAAUCCUAAUUGAUGGAUCAGAGCCAAGCAUGUUAUGGCAAGGAGCUCGUUGGCUAGCUCAAGGGCGCCUCAAAGAGGAGGGAGGAGGAGGGAUGGGGAUGGAAGAAGGUGUUGGGCAAGGUCACCAGUCCCGCGGGGGAGGGGGGGUCCGAGGCCAGAGCCUGCCACCGGUGCCACGGAUUCGACCAGAUCCAGCCGCUAGGAGCGCAGAUCUGCACGCCACCAGUCGGGGGCGCCGGGCCUAGCCUUCAUCGCCGGCUGAGGGGGGGGGGACUAUAAGGAGCCAAGCCGAGGCCCAUCACCGCCCUCACGGACGACACGUCGCCAGACAGCACCGCUGGCGACUGCCCUCCGCGGCCAAGGAGCACGACCGCUCCUUCGCCGGGAACAGCACACCGUCGCCGGGACACACGCCGCCGCACCGCCUCCACCACGCCCCAUCGCGCCACCGCGCACGGCAUUGUUGCUCUCCUCCGGCCAGGUCCAAAAGCAGGGUGCAUUUUUCAUGUUAUGAUACAUGGUUCCUGUUUUCAGGCAAAAACCACCAAGAAGAUUGUGCUGAAGCUGCAAUGCCAAAGCUGCAAGCAUUACUCCCAGCACCCCAUCAAGGUAUUUUUGCAAUGUGAAGAUUCAAGCUGAAAAUUCUCAUGAAUCAGUAUCUUUUUAGAUGUGUUGGAUGCUCACUUACAUAAUUAUUCUGUGCAGAGGUGCAAGCAUUUUAAAAUUGGUGGAGACAAGAAGGGCAAGGGAACGUCUCUUUUCUAAACUACCUACUGGAUACUGAAGUUGUGGGUCUACUGUGCUUCAUACUUCAAUGUUAUUAGGAGCUUAAUUUAAGCAGACCAUAUCAUGUAUUCAAGUACUCUAGCAAGGAUUGGCUUUCUGCUGAAUCAAGUUUUGUUGCUUAAUGCUCAUUGAAUCCAAUGUGAUGCAUGUGUUUAUGUUGCACUGCAAUUUUGUCUUAUGGCAGUUUUAUCUCCCUAAGUACUCGGUGUCUGUUUUUCGUUAUCUUACCUAUGUUUGCAAUCCUAGAGCGACCCACUUAAACGAAUUCCUGUGACAUGAAUCCCUGAGAGGUUAGUCUGAUGAACUUCCAUUUUUCAGACUGAAUUUCGUAUAUGGUUAACUAUACUAUGUUUUGUUCAAUAUCUUCGUCACGAGAUAGAAGGUAUGGAAUACCAUGGAUGGAGGUGAAUUGUAAGAUAGGCCUUGGUCUUGUGAUUGUUAUCUUAGAAGGUCGAUACUAAUGUUUGGUCUUGUGGCGUUAGUGAAACUGUUUUCGUAGCAAUGUUUGGUCUUGUGAUGUUAGUGAACUGUUUUCGUAGCAUUGUAGUACUUGUUCCAUUCUUCAUGCAUGAUUUGGAUAGGUUAUUGACAAUUGUUUAUAGUAAUGAAUUAAAUAUUACACUCCUAAAUCUAUUAUAUAAUUAAAGGAAUAGAAAAAGGAGCCUCCACGUUUACUCUCAUGGCUUAGAAAUUCUCACAUUAAUCGGAGAAAAAAAAACAGAGUCCAUAUAGAAAUACAAUUUAGAAAUAGCUGAAAUUCGGAAUUAAAAAAUAAGGAAUAUUAGAAGAGAAGACUAGAGUUCAUAUAGAAAUACACUUUAGAAAUAGUUGAAAUUUGGAAUUAAAAAAUAAGGAAUAUUAGAAGAGGAGUAUAGAGUCCAUAUAGAAAUACAAUUAGGAAAUAAUAGAAAUUCGGAAUUAAAAAUAAAGAAUAUUAGAAGUAGAGUAUAGAGUCCAUAUAGAAAUACAAUUAGGAAAUAAUAGAAAUUCUGAAUUAAAAAUAAGGAAUAUUAGAAGUAGAGUAUAAAGUCCAUAUAGAAAUACAAUUAAGAAAAAAU
rnacentral:lncRNA from 1 species